rnacentral:rRNA from 1 species
GCAUCGAUGAAGAACGCGGCGAAAUGUGAUAAGUAAUGUGAAUUGCAGAAUUCAGUGA